GGAUAGCCUUUCGAAAGAAAGAUUAAUACCCGAUAGUAUAAUGAUUCCGCAUGGUUUCAUUAUUAAAGGAUUCCGGUAAAGGAUGGGGAUGCGUUCCAUUAGGUUGUUGGUGAGGUAACGGCCCACCAAGCCUUCGAUGGAUAGGGGUUCUGAGAGGAAGGUCCCCCACAUUGGAACUGAGACACGGUCCAAACUCCUACGGGAGGCAGCAGUGAGGAAUAUUGGUCAAUGGGCGAGAGCCUGAACCAGCCAAGUAGCGUGAAGGAUGACUGCCCUAUGGGUUGUAAACUUCUUUUAUAAAGGAAUAAAGUCGGGUAUGCAUACCCGUUUGCAUGUACUUUAUGAAUAAGGAUCGGCUAACUCCGUGCCAGCAGCCGCGGUAAUACGGAGGAUCCGAGCGUUAUCCGGAUUUAUUGGGUUUAAAGGGAGCGUAGAUGGAUGUUUAAGUCAGUUGUGAAAGUUUGCGGCUCAACCGUAAAAUUGCAGUUGAUACUGGAUAUCUUGAGUGCAGUUGAGGCAGGCGGAAUUCGUGGUGUAGCGGUGAAAUGCUUAGAUAUCACGAAGAACUCCGAUUGCGAAGGCAGCCUGCUAAGCUGCAACUGACAUUGAGGCUCGAAAGUGUGG
rnacentral:rRNA from 1 species